GGGUCCUCAGUCGACGAUCUACGGGAGGCAGCAGCAGGGAAUAUUGCACAAUGGGCGAAAGCCUGAUGCAGCGACGCCGCGUGCGGGAUGAAGGCCUUCGGGUUGUAAACCGCUUUCAGGAGGGACGAAAAUGACGGUACCUCCAGAAAAAGGCCCGGCCAACUACGUGCCAGCAGCCGCGGUAACACGUAGGGGCCAAACGUUGUCCGGAUUUAUUGGGCGUAAAGGGCUCGUAGGCGGUUUGACAAGUCGGUCGUGAAAGCCCGGGGCUCAACCCCGGGACGCCGGUCGAAACUGUCAUGACUAGGGUCCGGUAGAGGUGAGUGGAAUUCUCAGUGUAGCGGUGAAAUGCGCAGAUAUUGAGAGGAACACCAGUAGCGAAGGCGGCUCACUGGGCCGGUACCGACGCUGAUGAGCGAAAGCGUGGGGAGCAAACAGGAUUAGAUACCCUGGUAGUCCACGCCGUAAACGAUGAGAACUAGAUGUCGGGAGGGUUUAGCCUUUCGGUGUCGCAGCUAACGCGUUAAGUUCUCCGCCUGGGGAGUACGCCGGCAACGGUAAAACUCAAAGGAAUUGACGG
rnacentral:rRNA from 1 species